rnacentral:lncRNA from 1 species
AGAAAAAAACUAUCUUCUCUUAGGACCUUUUCUAUUAUAUAUUAUUUUUGAUUUUAGGGAGGUCAAAGGGUUUGACUUCUCCCUCAUUCCUCCUCAUAUUCUUCAUCUCUUAGAAUGUCCAAGAGAUCCGAAGAAUAUUUUUAGAUUAACCAUCCGGAGGGAUCCACAAGAAGCUAGCACUUCGAGCGGAUCUUCGUUCGACGAACCUCUGAUUUUGUUGCAGCUCCAAAGGCAAUAAAAGAAAUCAAUCACGAAGUUCUCAAUCCACGCGAAGGUAA